rnacentral:tRNA from 1 species
GCGAGAGUAGCUCAGCUGGUAGAGCAUCACCUUGCCAAGGUGAGGGUCGCGAGUUCGAGUCUCGUCUCUCGCUCAA